ACCUGUUCCCGGCACACAGCUUGAUAGUUAAUACUGUCGCUGGUAAAUCACGAGCUCAGCAAAUCGCUCAAUAGAUUAUCGAUUUUGCUGCAUGCGAUGGCUCCCCAAAAUGGGGAGGGGGGGCUGAAUCUGUCCCGGGGCCUAAAGUUUGAGGUAUGUGCCUAAAUGUGAAGAUGGGACAAAACACAAAAACAAACACAUGGAGUGACAUUCCAGGCUGGAUUAUGCAGGAAAGAAACUAUUCCUUAUCUUGGGGUAAGGGGUGGAGCCACAGGUAAAAGCAAAAAAAAAAAAAAAAAAAAAAAAAAACCCCAACAACAACCUCUAAACAAGGACAGGAUGAGCAAAAUGGUGCUCCAGUCACACGCAGAUUUACUAAUCCCGCCCUGGACUGCCGGCCAGUCUCGUGCUGAUUUACUAAUCCGUUCUCUACAAGAAGAUUGAGGUCAGAGUAGUCACAUGGCAUCAAAAUCUGAAGGUGACGUGCCACGUUAGCCGUGCAUUCCUUUUUUUAGUGGCUAACAAUUCCUUCCAAAAUCUCGAUAUUGUUCUCAGGAGUCACCUGGCCCCUGGAGUCAAAGGUCAUUCCCUCUCCUAAACCACCAUGCCGAGGACUAUGUACCCAAUUCGGCGAGUCUUCAAGCACAACGCCAAGUGGAUCAAAACCAAAAAAGUUGCUCCAAAAAUGUCUGUAAAGUACAGUCCUACUGAGUUCUGGAGAAGGUAAUAAGGUGGCAUGGAGGCCCCUCACAGUUGUGUUUGCAGAAAAACUCACCGGGCAGAAGUACGUGUUCUGCGCAAUGUGCUGGGCCACACGAGGAUCGGACGCAGAAAGCGACAUGAUGAGGAGAAGAGAUUCUCGGGCC